rnacentral:rRNA from 1 species
GAUGAACGCUGGCGGCGUGCCUAAUACAUGCAAGUCGAGCGAACAGACGAGGAGCUUGCUCCUCUGACGUUAGCGGCGGACGGGUGAGUAACACGUGGAUAACCUACCUAUAAGACUGGGAUAACUUCGGGAAACCGGAGCUAAUACCGGAUAAUAUAUUGAACCGCAUGGUUCAAUAGUGAAAGACGGUUUUGCUGUCACUUAUAGAUGGAUCCGCGCCGCAUUAGCUAGUUGGUAAGGUAACGGCUUACCAAGGCGACGAUGCGUAGCCGACCUGAGAGGGUGAUCGGCCACACUGGAACUGAGACACGGUCCAGACGCCUACGGGAGGCAGCAGUAGGGAAUCUUCCGCAAUGGGCGAAAGCCUGACGGAGAAAAGCCGCGUGAGUGAUGAAGGUCUUCGGAUCGUAAAACUCUGUUAUUAGGGAAGAACAAAUGUGUAAGUAACUAUGCAAGUCUUGACGGUACCUAAUCAGAAAGCCACGGCUAACUACGUG